CGUGGGGCUUGUGGUACUUCUG
rnacentral:miRNA from 1 species